AUGUAAGGUAUUGUAAAAUUAAAGCCAAAGGUGUGUACACGUGGCAGCNAAGCAUUGGGUAAAGUUCUAAAAAAAUAAAACUUUUAUAAAAACACUUCAUUCUAAGUUUCAGCCCAUUCCUCCACCGUCCAGACAAACACAUCUCUCCUUCUUUUUCUUCCCUUCAUUCCUCUACCUUCCAUCUACCAUAACUCAGAAUCUAACCGUUUGUUUCUCAAAUUGAAGCUACCUAAGCAUUCAGGACUCCAAGAGCUACGUUUCUACCGAUUGAUUUUCUGUUUCCUCCAAUGGGUAAGAAAACCCCUUUCUCCAUUUUUCCCUAGGGUUGUAAGCACGUGAUUUCUUACAACAAGCUGUCAAUUUUGUUCUAUUCCAUAAUGUAGCUUCUAAUUGGUUCUAAAAUUCGUUCUCCAUCAUCAAUUGAUGAUUUAUAGGUGAUUCUAACAUUUUGGGAGUGUAAGAAGUGGUCUAGAGUUCCUACUUGAGCUUGGUUGUCUACACUAGAGGUAAGGGGAGCUAGUUCUACUUUUCAUUUUAGUUGUAUGAUGUGAAUGCAUGAUAAUUUUGAAGUGGUAUGUUGUUGAAGGCAUGAAAU
rnacentral:lncRNA from 1 species